GACGAACGCUGGCGGCGUGCCUAAUACAUGCAAGUAGAACGCACAGUUUAUACCGUAGCUUGCUACACCAUAGACUGUGAGUUGCGAACGGGCGAGUAACGCGUAGGUAACCUGCCUGGUAGCGGGGGAUAACUAUUGUAAACGAUAGCUAAUACCGCAUAAUAUUAAUUAUUGCAUGAUAAUUGAUUGAAAGAUGCAACUGCAUCACUACCAGAUGGACCUGCGUUGUAUUAGCUAGUAGGUGAGGUAACGGCUCACCUAGGCGACGAUACAUAGCCGACCUGAGAGGGUGAUCGGCCACACUGGGACUGAGACACGGCCCAGACUCCUACGGGAGGCAGCAGUAGGGAAUCUUCGGCAAUGGACGAAAGUCUGACCGAGCAACGCCGCGUGAGUGAAGAAGGUUUUCGGAUCGUAAAGCUCUGUUGUAAGAGAAGAACGGGUGUGAGAGUGGAAAGUUCACACUGUGACGGUAUCUUACCAGAAAGGGACGGCUAACUACGUG
rnacentral:rRNA from 1 species